GUGUUCUCAUCCAGCAGCACAUAUACUAAAAUUGGAACAAUUCAAAGAAGACUAGCAUGGCCUCUGCACAAGAACGACACACUGACUCAUACAUGGUCCAUAUUAAA